rnacentral:rRNA from 1 species
UGGGGAAUAUUGGACAAUGGAGGAAACUCUGAUCCAGCAAUUCUGCGUGAGCGAAGAAGGUUUUAGGACUGUAAAACACUUUUAGUAGGGAAGAAAAAAAUGACGGUACCUACAGAAGAAGCAACGGCUAAAUACGUGCCAGCAGCCGCGGUAAUACGUAUGUUGCGAGCGUUAUCCGGAAUUAUUGGGCUUAAAGGGCAUCUAGGCGGUAAGACAAGUUGAAGGUGAAAACCUGUGGCUCAACCAUAGGCUUGCCUACAAAACUGUUGAACUAGAGUACUGGAAAGGUGGGUGGAACUACACGAGUAGAGAUGAAAUUCGUAGAUAUGUGUAGGAAUGCCGAUGAUGAAGAUAACUCACUGGACAGAAACUGACGCUGAAGUGCGAAAGCUAGGGGAGCAAACAGG